AACAUAGACAGAUCUUUUCGCUCUUCUUACCUAGACACAAAUUCACUUAAUUCUGAACAUUCUGUGGGCUCCAUUAUUAUGUUGAGGUCAGUAACAGCAGAA